GCCAAACAGCUAGCUUAAUCACUAAUUUUAACCCAACAAUGUUUAUAAAAAAACAUGACCCACCCCUAAAAAUUAAACCAUUUUUUUACCUGAGUAUGGGAGACAGAAAAGGUUCACCCAAAGCAAUAGAGAAAGUACCGCAAGGGAAAGCUGAAAGAGAAAUGAAACAACCCAUAUAAGCACUAAAAAACAAAGAUUAAAUCUUGUACCUUUUGCAUCAUGAUUUAGUAAGUACACUCAAGCAAAGAGACCUUUAGUUUGUAACCCCGAAACCAGGUGAGCUACCCCGAGACAGCCUAUAUAAAUUAGGGCUAACCCGUCUCUGUGGCAAAAGAGUGGGAAGAGCUCCGGGUAGAAGUGACAGACCUACCGAACCUGGUGAUAGCUGGUUGCCUGAGAAAUGGAUAGAAGUUCAGCCCCGCAUACCCCAGACCAAGACCCUAAACUUUAAGGUAAUUUUAAGGGAGACGUACGGGAGUUAGUUAAAGGGGGUACAGCCCCUCUAACAAAGGAUACAACCUUGCCAGGAGGAUAAAGAUCAUAAUAUUUAAAACAAACUGUUUUAGUGGGCCUAAAAGCAGCCAUCUAAACAGAAAGCGUUAAAGCUCAAACAGAAUGAAGUUUAUUAUACCGAUAAAAAAUCUUAUUCCCCUAAAGAUAUCAGGCCAUCCCAUGCUCGCAUGGGAGAAAUUAUGCUAAAAUGAGUAACAAGAAGACCUGUUCUUCUCCAAGCACAAGUGUAAAACCAGAUCGGACAAGCCACUGGAAAAUAACGAACUCAACCCCAAGAGAGUACUGUGAACAAUAUAGUAACCAAGAAAAACUCACAACCAAAUAAUCGUUAACCCCACACUGGAGUGCUAUUUUUAAAGGAAAGACUAAAAGAAAGGGAAGGAACUCGGCAAACACAAGCCUCGCCUGUUUACCAAAAACAUCGCCUCCUGCAACUAGAUUAAGUAUAGGAGGUCCAGCCUGCCCAGUGACUACGGGUUCAACGGCCGCGGUAUUUUGACCGUGCAAAGGUAGCGCAAUCACUUGUCUUUUAAAUAGAGACCUGUAUGAAUGGCUAAACGAGGGCUUAACUGUCUCCCCCUUCCAGUCAGUGAAAUUGAUCUAUCCGUGCAGAAGCGGGUAUAAUAAUACAAGACGAGAAGACCCUUUGGAGCUUAAGGUACAAAAUUUAACCACGUUAAACAACUAAACAAAAAGCAAAAACUUAGUGGAACAUAAUAUUUUACCUUCGGUUGGGGCGACCGCGGAGGAAAAACUAGCCUCCGAGUGGAAUGGGAUAAAUUCCUAAAACCAAGAGAAACAUCUCUAAGCCGCAGAACAUCUGACCAAUAAUGAUCCGGCCUUAUGGCCGAUCAACGAACCAAGUUACCCUAGGGAUAACAGCGCAAUCCUCUCCCAGAGUCCAUAUCGACGAGGGGGUUUACGACCUCGAUGUUGGAUCAGGACAUCCUAAUGGUGCAGCCGCUAUUAAGGGUUCGUUUGUUCAACGAUUAAAGUCCUACGUGAUCUGAGUUCAGACCGGAGUAAUCCAGGUCAGUUUCUAUCUGUAAAGCUACUUUUCCUAGUACGAAAGGAUCGGAAAAGAGGGGCCCAUACUUAAAGCACGCCCCACCCCUAAUUAAUGAAAACAAAUAAAUUAGAUAAAGGGAGGGCCUAAACCCUGCCGCCCAAAAUAAGGGCA
rnacentral:rRNA from 1 species